AAUCCUUGGUGUGAUGAACACAUCUGUGUUCUUCGUUUCUCUUCGAACGGCCAUAUGCUCUUCUCUUAAUCGAGUCUGUUACAGAUCCAUCGCAUUAAACACCUUCUUUAAUCCAGCAACCACUAUUCUACUUUCAAUUUGAGUGUUGCUUCUGAAAAGCGUUCUAUAUGUGAGUAUAAAUAGAUAUGUCUUUCUCCUCUCAAAAUCAUAUUCUCGAUCUCUUGGAACAAUGAAAUAAUGUUUUUAAGAUGGCGGCCUCCUCUGUCCUCCUCAUAGAUUCUGGUUCGAUGUGGUAGAGAACGUCUAGAUCCGAUAAUCUUCGAUCUACACCAAUUAUAUUUGUGGUUCUUCCCAGAAAGAUCAAACCAAUUAAAAGAGAUAAACAAACAGUGAACCGAUGUUCCGGUGGCCGGAAGAAAGUUGUGUUGUCCGGAUUCAUGUACCGAUCUGGUGACAUUUAUGCGCUAAGAUGGAUUUUCCUCUGAGAAUGUUUACUCCUGUGUAAUUCGUUUUUUUUAAGAUUUUCCAGUUGUUUUUGCUCUCUGUGCAGUGUUUUAGAAGAAGAUAAAUCUUUAAAAGGUGGAUUCAGUUCCAUGCGUGGUAGUUGUAUUCUAAUUGUGUUGUUAAUUAGUUUGUUUUAUAUGUUGGAAUAUUUAAGGUUAACACUAUGCUGCUACCUGCUAAUUUUGUUUGUCAAUAUGGAAAUUUAGUGUGUUAGAUGGAUUGUGUUGUACGUUUAUGAAAGCUUUCUAUUUUAUGAUCUCUAAGCUGGAGUUUUGAUGUUCUUUCUGGUCUUUUUAUUGUUGUAUCUGGUGAUGAUAUGAUACAAAAAGCCAAGAGGUAUGGGAUCUGCAUGUUUUCAAAAAGUGCAUAGGAAAAAACAGAGGUUCAGACAAGAGCUACAAGAAGGCUUACCUAAGAAAUAUAAGCCUUUGGCCGGAGCUUCUCACGCCAAAGGACUCGUCCUUGAGCUCAUAGGAAUGUAGGCUAAGCAGCCAUGCUCUGGUAUAUGUAAGUGUUCUAGAGUAAAACUUGUCAAGAAUGGAAAGAAGGUUGCUGCUUUUGUCCCCAACGAUGGUUGUUUGAACCUCAUUGAGCCAAAUGACGAGGUUUGAUAUCUGGAUUUGGGCGUAAGAGUCAUACUGUGGGAGAUAUUCCAGGCGUAAGGUACAAGGUCGUCAAGGUUUCUGGUGUUUUACUCUCUGCUCUCUACAAGGACAAGAAGGAGAAGCCAAGGUCUUAAAACAAAACCUUCAAAGCUUUUGAAUUUUAUUUUUGAUGGCAUAAGCACUUUUCAGUAUUUUAGUUAAAUAAAAGAACUCUUGUGUUAUGUUCUACUUUGGGAUUCAGUAACUUGGUGUGUUAAAUCUUGUAUUCUGAUGACCAUUUGAG